AUUGAACGCUGGCGGCACGCCUUACACAUGCAAGUCGAACGGCAGCGGGGACUUCGGUCCGCCGGCGAGUGGCGAACGGGUGAGUAAUGUAUCGGAACGUACCAUUCAGUGGGGGAUAACUAUCCGAAAGGAUAGCUAAUACCGCAUAUUCUGUGAGCAGGAAAGCAGGGGAUCGCAAGACCUUGCGCUGAUUGAGCGGCCGAUAUCAGAUUAGCUAGUUGGUGAGGUAACGGCUCACCAAGGCUACGAUCUGUAGCGGGUCUGAGAGGAUGAUCCGCCACACUGGGACUGAGACACGGCCCAGACUCCUACGGGAGGCAGCAGUGGGGAAUUUUGGACAAUGGGCGCAAGCCUGAUCCAGCCAUGCCGCGUGAGUGAAGAAGGCCUUCGGGUUGUAAAGCUCUUUCGGCCGGGAAGAAAUCGCAUCAGCUAAUACCUGGUGUGGAUGACGGUACCGGAAUAAGAAGCACCGGCUAACUACGUGCCAGCAGCCGCCGUAA
rnacentral:rRNA from 1 species